rnacentral:rRNA from 1 species
UUGGAGGGCAAGUCUGGUGCCAGCAGCCGCGGUAAUUCCAGCUCCAAUAGCGUAUAUUAAAGUUGUUGCAGUUAAAAAGCUCGUAGUUGAACCUCGGGGUCUACCCAUUGGUCAGGCUUAAUUGUCUGCACUGGUGAGAUGGAUCUCUACCUUCUGAGGAACUUUCAUGCCAUUUAUUUGGUGUGAUGGGAAAUCAGGACUGUUACUUUGAAAAAAUUAGAGUGUUUAAAGCAGACUAUCGUCUGAAUACAUCAGCAUGGAAUAAUGAAAUAGGACGGACUGAUUCUAUUUCGUUGGUUUCUAGGAUCACCGUAAUGAUUAAUAGGGAUAGUUGGGGGCAUUAGUAUUCAAUUGUCAGAGGUGAAAUUCUUGGAUUUAUUGAAGACUAACUACUGCGAAAGCAUUUGCCAAGGAUGUUUUCAUUAAUCAAGAACGAAAGUUAGGGGAUCGAAGACGAUCAGAUACCGUCGUAGUCUUAACCAUAAACUAUGCCGACUAGGGAUCGGACGAAGUUAAUUUUAUAAUGACGCGUUCGGCGCCUUACGGGAAACA